ACGGCCGUCCCGUUUAACCCGCCGUCGCCUCCCGUCCGAAAGCGUCGGCCGCGGCGUCCUUCCCUGAGCCUCGGCGAGGGCGGGGGGCGCCUCUNUCCGCGUGGGAGGGCGGGCCGGGCGCGCGGUGGGCUGCGGUGCUGCRGCGGCGACUCUGGACGUGCGCCGGGCCCUUCUCGCGGAUCUCCCCGGCUACGGUCCGCGUCGGGACCCUCGUCCGUCCGCCUCCUCUCGGGGGUGGGGGGCGGGCGGGGGNCUCCCCGGCGCGCUCCCGGGCGGCCUAGCAGCCGGCUUAG
rnacentral:rRNA from 1 species